rnacentral:rRNA from 1 species
GCGUGAGUGAAGAAGGCCUUAGGGUUGUAAAGCUCUUUCGCCCGUGAAGAUGAUGACUGUAGCGGGAUAAGAAGCCCCGGCUAACUCCGUGCCAGCAGCCGCGGUAAUACGGAGGGGGCUAGCGUUGUUCGGAAUUACUGGGCGUAAAGCGCACGUAGGCGGCUGAUCAAGUCAGAGGUGAAAGGCCUGGGCUCAACCCGGGAACUGCCUUUGAGACUGAUCGGCUUGAGUCCGGGAGAGGGUAGUGGAAUUCCCAGUGUAGAGGUGAAAUUCGU